AUCGCUUCUCGGCCUUUUGGCUAAGAUCAAGUGUAGGAAUACUCCAGCAUAUUUAUAGCUCUAAAAUCCAAACUUUUGGAUUAUGGUUUUAAAAUUCAAAUGUUUUAUGAAGGUUUAUCAAAGACGUGUGUGACUGUGCCCCUGCUAAUCCAGUCACAACUGUGCCCUGCUU
rnacentral:snRNA from 1 species